UACGGAGGAUGCGAGCGUUAUCCGGAUUUAUUGGGUUUAAAGGGUGCGUAGGCGGAUUUGUAAGUCAGCGGUAAAAAUGCGGUGCUCAACGCCGUAUCGCCGUUGAAACUGCAGGUCUUGAGUGAGCGAGAAGUAUGCGGAAUGCGUGGUGUAGCGGUGAAAUGCGUAGAGAUUAGGAAGAACACCAGUGGCGAAGGCGAUUCUCUGGACUGUAACUGACGCUGAGGCUCGAAAGCGUGGGGAGCAAACAGG
rnacentral:rRNA from 1 species